rnacentral:rRNA from 1 species
CCCAGUUCGGAUUGUAGUCUGCAACCCGACUACAUGAAGCUGGAAUCGCUAGUAAUCGCGAAUCAGAAUGUCGCGGUGAAUACGUUCCCGGGUCUUGUACACACCGCCCGUCACACCAUGGGAGUCAGUAACGCCCGAAGCCGGUGACCCAACCAAUUCAGGAGGGAGCCGUCGAAGGUGGGACCGAUAACUGGGGUGAAGUCGUAACAAGGUAAC